rfam:Triticum aestivum genome assembly, contig: Triticum_aestivum_CS42_TGACv1_scaffold_578739_7BL
UUUAUACUCCCUCCGUCCCGAAUUACUUAUUGUAUAAAUGAAUAUAUCUAGACAUAAUUUUAGUUCUGCAUGCGUCCAUUUCUAUUCAUUUUUGUGACAAGUAACUCGGGACGGAGGAAGUACAUU